UUUCAAACUUUCUAGUGCUUUGUUUCUAAAAGCUGCUUAAGAAAUAAUUGUUAUACUAUAAAUAUUAAGUAAAAUACAAUAAAUUUUAGGCCGGGUGAAUAAAAUUAAGCAAUAGACCUUUUCGCUAACUUUAUUUUAAGUUUGGCAGAAUACUCCAGAUAUGAUGCGAUGUAAAACUUCAUAAAAAUUUCGAGCACUUUGUUUACGUUUAUUUUAAUAAUGGAGUCAACAUUAAUUUACAACAAAUAACAUAAUAAACAAUUAAAGACCGACUCAAGUUUUUUAUAUUUUUUAAUAAUUAAGUUAGCAUUAAUUUUAAGUAAAAAAUGUCAAUGUGUUGUGCUGUAAAAGGAUGCUUAAAUAGCUCAUGAAUAUUAAAAAAAUGGUUACAGGCAGAUUGCAAGCAACAUCAUUGCAAAAGACAAGCUAACGAGUGUUCUUGUUCACAACCGUUUCGACUUUAUCCAUUUCCAACAGCAAAGAAAAACUUAGUG